GUCGAGCGAACAGAUGAGAAGCUUGCUUCUCUGAUGUUAGCGGCGGACGGGUGAGUAACACGUGGGUAACCUACCUAUAAGACUGGGAUAACUCCGGGAAACCGGGGCUAAUACCGGAUAAUAUUUUGAACCGCAUGGUUCAAUAGUGAAAGACGGUUUCGGCUGUCACUUAUAGAUGGACCCGCGCCGUAUUAGCUAGUUGGUAAGGUAACGGCUUACCAAGGCGACGAUACGUAGCCGACCUGAGAGGGUGAUCGGCCACACUGGAACUGAGACACGGUCCAGACUCCUACGGGAGGCAGCAGUAGGGAAUCUUCCGCAAUGGGCGAAAGCCUGACGGAGCAACGCCGCGUGAGUGAUGAAGGUCUUCGGAUCGUAAAACUCUGUUGUUAGGGAAGAACAAAUUUGUUAGUAACUGAACAAGUCUUGACGGUACCUAACCAGAAAGCCACGGCUAACUACGUGCCAGCAGCCGCGGUAAUACGUAGGUGGCAAGCGUUAUCCGGAAUUAUUGGGCGUAAAGCGCGCGUAGGCGGUUUCUUAAGUCUGAUGUGAAAGCCCACGGCUCAACCGUGGAGGGUCAUUGGAAACUGGGAAACUUGAGUGCAGAAGAGGAGAGUGGAAUUCCAUGUGUAGCGGUGAAAUGCGCAGAGAUAUGGAGGAACACCAGUGGCGAAGGCGGCUCUCUGGUCUGUAACUGACGCUGAUGUGCGAAAGCGUGGGGAUCAAACAGGAUUAGAUACCCUGGUAGUCCACGCCGUAAACGAUGAGUGCUAAGUGUUAGGGGGUUUCCGCCCCUUAGUGCUGCAGCUAACGCAUUAAGCACUCCGCCUGGGGAGUACGACCGCAAGGUUGAAACUCAAAGGAAUUGACGGGGACCCGCACAAGCGGUGGAGCAUGUGGUUUAAUUCGAAGCAACGCGAAGAACCUUACCAAAUCUUGACAUCCUUUGACCGCUCUAGAGAUAGAGUCUUCCCCUUCGGGGGACAAAGUGACAGGUGGUGCAUGGUUGUCGUCAGCUCGUGUCGUGAGAUGUUGGGUUAAGUCCCGCAACGAGCGCAACCCUUAAGCUUAGUUGCCAUCAUUAAGUUGGGCACUCUAGGUUGACUGCCGGUGACAAACCGGAGGAAGGUGGGGAUGACGUCAAAUCAUCAUGCCCCUUAUGAUUUGGGCUACACACGUGCUACAAUGGAUAAUACAAAGGGCAGCGAAUCCGCGAGGCCAAGCAAAUCCCAUAAAAUUAUUCUCAGUUCGGAUUGUAGUCUGCAACUCGACUACAUGAAGCUGGAAUCGCUAGUAAUCGUAGAUCAGCAUGCUACGGUGAAUACGUUCCCGGGUCUUGUACACACCGCCCGUCACACCACGAGAGUUUGUAACACCCGAAGCCGGUGGAGUA
rnacentral:rRNA from 1 species